rnacentral:tRNA from 1 species
GGGUCCGUAGCUCAAUUGGGAGAGCGCUAGAAUCGCACUCUAGAGGUCGUGAGUUCGAAUCUCAUCGGAUCCACGA